UGCUAAGACUGGAUAGGAAACAAAAAGGCAUCUUUUUGUUUUUAAAAGACCUUCUUACGAAGGUAUGCUUAAAGAGGGGCUUGCGCCACAUUAGUUAGUUGGUAGGGUAAAAGCCUACCAAGACGAUGAUGUGUAGCUGGACUGAGAGGUUGAACAGCCACAUUGGGACUGAGACACGGCCCAAACUCCUACGGGAGGCAGCAGUAGGGAAUUUUCGGCAAUGGAGGAAACUCUGACCGAGCAACGCCGCGUGAACGAUGAAGUAUUUCGGUAUGUAAAGUUCUUUUAUUGAAGAAGAAAAAGUAGUGGAAAAACUAUAUUGACGUUAUUCAAUGAAUAAGCCCCGGCUAACUAUGUGCCAGCAGCCGCGGUAAGACAUAGGGGGCGAGCGUUAUCCGGAAUUAUUGGGCGUAAAGGGUGCGUAGGCUGUUAGAUAAGUCUAUAAUUUAAUUUCAGUGCUUAACGCUGUCUUGUUAUAGAAACUGUCUUGACUAGAGUGAGAUAGAGGCAAGCGGAAUUCCAUGUGUAGCGGUAAAAUGUGUAAAUAUAUGGAGGAACACCAGAAGCGUAGGCGGCUUGCUGGGUCUUUACUGACGCUGAGGCACGAAAGCGUGGGUAGCAAACAGGAUUAGAUACCCUGGUAGUCCACGCCGUAAACGAUGAGUACUAAGUGUCGGGGUAAAACUCGGUACUGAAGUUAACACAUUAAGUACUCCGCCUGAGUAGUACGUACGCAAGUAUGAAACUUAAAGGAAUUGACGGGACUCCGCACAAGCGGUGGAUCAUGUUGUUUAAUUCGAAGAUACACGAAAAAUCUUACCAGGUCUUGACAUACUCUGCAAAGCUAUAGAAAUAUAGUGGAGGUUAUCAGGGAUACAGGUGGUGCAUGGUUGUCGUCAGUUCGUGUCGUGAGAUGUUAGGUUAAGUCCUAAAACGAGCGCAACCCUUGUCGUUAAUUGCCAGCACGUAAUGGUGGGGACUUUAGCGAGACUGCCAAUUAAACAUUGGAGGAAGGUGAGGAUUACGUCAAAUCAUCAUGCCCCUUAUGAUCUGGGCUACAAACGUGAUACAAUGGCUGUGACAAAGAGUAGCUGAAACGCGAGUUUUUAGCCAAUCUCAAAAAAGCAGUCUCAGUUCGGAUUGAAGUCUGUAACUCGACUUCAUGAAGUUGGAAUCGCUAGUAAUCGCGAAUCAGCAUGUCGCGGUGAAUACGUUCUCGGGGUUUGUACACACCGCCCGUCAAA
rnacentral:rRNA from 1 species